UUGGGGUAGAGCAUCCACACUUGAGGAUAGGCUAAUGAUCCAGGCUGUCUUGGACAAGCUGAAAAAGUCGGCAGAUACAAUCAUGAUGACAUUCAAUACCGACAAAUGUAAGGUACUCCACCUUGGGGAACCCUCCCUGCAGUAGGCUUAUAGACUCGGCAGUGCAACACUCACUAGCACCAAGACCAAAAGAGACUUGGGGGUCAUGAUUGACCACAAGAUGAACAUUAGCCACCAAUGUGAUGCUGUGGCUAUCAAAG